ACUCGUUUAGAUGUCAGUGCAUUGGUUGUUCACAACUAAAUCUGUCUGACCUGGUUCUAAAUGCUUUCCAUUGUGUCAAUCCAAAUUGUGACGGUGUAGUCCUGGAUGGCUGUGUGAGUAACUCUGAAUUAAACAAACUUAAGAACUUCCCUGGAGUUCCCAAAAUGAAGGUUGAUGAGCUGAAUAAUGCCCACAUUGAUAAUGUAGAUCACCUUGUACUUGAGCUAAGCAAUAACUCUUUUAAUAUUCAACCUGG
rnacentral:misc_RNA from 1 species